UUGCAACACUCCUGGUGUUGACCACGAUUUAAGAUAUACAUAGAUAUCUUGUGGAACAAAAUGAUAAAUUAAAGAAAAAGAAAAGGCAAUCAAAUUGUAGGUACUGUCAUUCCUAAAAUCAAACAUCAGUCAAAAAUGGUCUUUGGAAUAUAAUUGCAGUGAAGAGGAAGAUAAUAAACCCACUUUACCUUCUCUUGGGCCUUGUCAACCAGGUUUUAAUAAUUAUGAUUAUGUUUAUCAAGAAAAUGAGCCCAGCAAAAAAUGUUUUUCCAACUGGUAUAACAAAGAAGUUAAAUCAGGAAUAAGCUGUAAAAGAAAUUGGAUAUGAAAAAAUUAUUAAAAAUGAAAAAUCCAAGGACCAU